UCCGUAGGCGGGCGACUAAGUCAGAGGUGAAAUCCCACAGCUUAACUGUGGAACUGCCUUUGAUACUGGUUGUCUUGAGUUAUAGUGAAGUAGAUAGAAUAUGUAGUGUAGCGGUGAAAUGCUUAGAUAUUACAUAGAAUACCGAUUGCGAAGGCAGUCUACUAACUAUAUACUGACGCUAAUGGACGAAAGCGUGGGGAGCGAACAGGAUUAGAUACCCUGGUAGUC
rnacentral:rRNA from 1 species